AGCGAACGCUGGCGGCAGGCCUAACACAUGCAAGUCGAACGAACUCUUCGGAGUUAGUGGCGGACGGGUGAGUAACACGUGGGAACGUGCCUUUAGGUUCGGAAUAACUCAGGGAAACCUGUGCUAAUACCGAAUGUGCCCUUCGGGGAAAAGAUUUAUCGCCUUUAGAGCGGCCCGCGUCUGAUUAGCUAGUUGGUGAGGUAACGGCUCACCAAGGCGACGAUCAGUAGCUGGUCUGAGAGGAUGGCCAGCCACACUGGGACUGAGACACGGCCCAGACUCCUACGGGAGGCAGCAGUGGGGAAUCUUGCGCAAUGGGCGAAAGCCCGACGCAGCCAUGCCGCGUGAAUGAUGAAGGUCUUAGGAUUGUAAAAUUCUUUCACCGGGGACGAUAAUGACGGUACCCGGAGAAGAAGCCCCGGCUAACUUCGUGCCAGCAGCAGCCGCGG
rnacentral:rRNA from 1 species